GACGAACGCUGGCGGCGUGCUUAACACAUGCAAGUCGAACGGAAAGGCCCUGCUUUUGUGGGGUGCUCGAGUGGCGAACGGGUGAGUAACACGUGAGUAACCUGCCCUUGACUUUGGGAUAACUUCAGGAAACUGGGGCUAAUACCGGAUAGGAGCUCCUGCUGCAUGGUGGGGGUUGGAAAGUUUCGGCGGUUGGGGAUGGACUCGGGGCUUAUCAGCUUGUUGGUGGGGUAGUGGCUUACCAAGGCUUUGACGGGUAGCCGGCCUGAGCGGGUGACCGGCCACAUUGGGACUGAGGUAAGGCCCAGAGUCCUACGGGAGGCAGCAGUGGGGAAUAUUGCACAAUGGGCGGAAGCCUGAUGCAGCAACGCCGCGUGCGGGAUGACGGCCUUUGGGUUGUAAACCGCUUUCGCCUGUGACGAAGCGUGAGUGACGGUAAUGGGUAAAGAAGCACCGGCUAACUACGUG
rnacentral:rRNA from 1 species